rnacentral:rRNA from 1 species
AUUGAACGCUGGCGGCAUGCCUUACACAUGCAAGUCGAACGGCAGCAUGGAAGAGCUUGCUCUUCUGAUGGCGAGUGGCGAACGGGUGAGUAAAGCAUCGGAACGUACCGUGUAGUGGGGGAUAACGUAGCGAAAGUUACGCUAAUACCGCAUACGCACUGAGGUGGAAAGCAGGGGAUCGCAAGACCUUGCGCUAUACGAGCGGCCGAUGUCAGAUUAGCUAGUUGGUAGGGUAAAGGCCUACCAAGGCGACGAUCUGUAGCGGGUCUGAGAGGAUGAUCCGCCACACUGGGACUGAGACACGGCCCAGACUCCUACGGGAGGCAGCAGUGGGGAAUUUUGGACAAUGAGCGAAAGCCUGAUCCAGCCAUGCCGCGUGAGUGAAGAAGGCCUUCGGGUUGUAAAGCUCUUUCGGCUGGGAAGAAAUCGCACAGGCUAAUACUCUGUGUGGAUGACGGUACCAGCACAAGAAGCACCGGCUAACUACGUGCCAGCCGCCGCGGUAA